rnacentral:rRNA from 1 species
AUUGAACGCUGGCGGCAGGCCUAACACAUGCAAGUCGAGCGGGGUUUUCGGACCUAGCGGCGGACGGGUGAGUAAUGCGUAGGAAGCUGCCCGAUAGAGGGGGAUACCAGUUGGAAACGACUGUUAAUACCGCAUAAUGUCUACGGACCAAAGUGUGGGACCUUCGGGCCACAUGCUAUCGGAUGCGCCUACGUGGGAUUAGCUAGUUGGUGAGGUAAUGGCUCACCAAGGCGACGAUCGCUAGCUGGUUUGAGAGGAUGAUCAGCCACACUGGAACUGAGACACGGUCCAGACUCCUACGGGAGGCAGCAGUGGGGAAUAUUAGACAAUGGGCGCAAGCCUGAUCCAGCCAUGCCGCGUGUGUGAAGAAGGCCUUCGGGUUGUAAAGCACUUUCAGCGAGGAGGAAGGGUGGUGUGUUAAUAGCACAUCAUUUUGACGUUACUCGCAGAAGAAGCACCGGCUAACUCUGUGCCAGCCGCCGCUGUAAUAC